GACGAACGCUGGCGGCGUGCCUAAUACAUGCAAGUUGAGCGCUGAAGGUUGGUACUUGUACCAACUGGAUGAGCAGCGAACGGGUGAGUAACGCGUGGGGAAUCUGCCUUUAAGCGGGGGACAACAUUUGGAAACGAAUGCUAAUACCGCAUAAAAACUUUAAACACAAGUUUUAAGUUUGAAAGAUGCAAUUGCAUCACUCAAAGAUGAUCCCGCGUUGUAUUAGCUAGUUGGUGAGGUAAAGGCUCACCAAGGCGAUGAUACAUAGCCGACCUGGGAGGGUGAUCGGCCACAUUGGGACUGAGACACGGCCCAAACUCCUACGGGAGGCAGCAGUAGGGAAUCUUCGGCAAUGGACGAAAGUCUGACCGAGCAACGCCGCGUGAGUGAAGAAGGUUUUCGGAUCGUAAAACUCUGUUGGUAGAGAAGAACGUUGGUGAGAGUGGAAAGCUCAUCAAGUGACGGUAACUACCCAGAAAGGGACGGCUAACUACGUG
rnacentral:rRNA from 1 species